rnacentral:tRNA from 1 species
GAUGAGGUGGCUGAGUGGUUAAGGUGAUGGACUACUACUCAAUUGUGCUCUGUACGCAUAGGUUCAAAUCCUGUUCUUGUUG